rnacentral:rRNA from 1 species
CGGGGGACGCGCUUGCGCGUCCCGCCGGCGACCGGCGCACGGGUGAGUAACACGUAUGCAACCUGCCCCCGCCAGGGGUACAACCCUCCGAAAGGGGGGCUGAUACCGCGUACAUCCCCUGGGGGCAUCCCCGGGGGAGGAAAGCCCUUUUGGGCGGGCGGGGAUGGGCAUGCGGCGCAUUAGGAAGACGGCGGUGUGACGGACCACCGUUCCGACGAUGCGUAGGGGUUCUGAGAGGAAGGCCCCCCACACUGGUACUGAGACACGGACCAGACUCCUACGGGAGGCAGCAG